ensembl:lncRNA
UCAGUCACUCUUAUCCUGAAGACUGGACAUGCAGGAUUUGGGAAUCAAAUAUCUACACACUUCAGCCGUGGCCGUUCUUCAGUGAGCCACAUUGUCACCCAUGAUUACAACACAGAGACUGGGAAUAACAACAUCGUCCUCAUUAGACUCGUUAAACCAUUGCAGAUGAAUGAUCAAAUAAGGCCUGUGUGUUUGCCCAAUGUCGGGCUGGACUUCACUGCUCCCCAGACAUUCUGGAUUUCAGGGUUUGGCAGCACAGUUUCUAGUGGUAGGUCGUAUUUAUGCAAUAUCAUGAGAACAUAUAUAUUAGUUGAAGUAGGAUGUUUACAUACACCUUAUCCAAAUACAUUUAAACUCAGUUUUUCACAAUUCCUGACAUUUAAUCCUUGUAAGAGUUCUCUGUUUCAGGUCAGAUAGGAUCACCACUUUAUUUUAAGAAUGUGAAAUGUCAGAAUAAUAGAGAGAAUGAUUUUUCAGCUUUUAUUUCUUUCAUUGCAUUCCCAGUGGGUCAGAAGUUUACAUACACUCAAUUAGUAUUUGGUAGCAUUGCUUUUAAAUUGUUUAACUUGGGUCAAACGUUUUGGGUAGCCUUUCAGAAGCUUCCCACAAUAAGUUGGGUGAAAUUUGGCCCAUUCCUCCUGACAGAGCUGGUGUAACUGAGUCAGGACUCAGUAUGGUGGCUGGUAGGGGACACAAGCUGGGGAGAUGUCUGUGCCGAGGAACAAACCAGGCAUCUAUGGAAACGUCGCCUUCUUCCUAGGCUGGAUCUAUGAACAAAUGCAGAAAUAAAGAAACUGAGAAAUCACUGGUGGACAAUCAGAAUGAAAUGGUGGAAACAUUUUUUUCUGAAUAGAAAAGCCAGAAAGACAUGUUUGUACGUACAGUGUGUCAUCAGAAAUGCAAUAUUUGUGCUACAUAUUGAAUUUGUCC